rfam:Ovis aries breed Texel chromosome 10, whole genome shotgun sequence.
CAAUAGGCUUUCUUUAAAGCCAUUCAUUAUGCACAGCUUAAAGAAAG